rnacentral:rRNA from 1 species
AGUGAUCAUUGGCGGCAGGCUUAACACAUGCAAGUCGAGCGAGGCCAAGAGCCGAGCGGCGAACGGGUGAGUAAUACUUGGGAAUCUACCCCGGAGUGUGGGACAACGUUCAGAAAUGGACGCUAAUACCACAUAAUCCAUAUUGGGAAAGCGCGCAGCACUCUGGGAUGAGCCCAUGUCUGAUUAGCUAGUUGGUGGGGUAAAGGCCUACCAAGGCGACGAUCAGUAGCUGGUCUGAGAGGAUGAUCAGCCACACUGGAACUGAGACACGGUCCAGACUCCUACGGGAGGCAGCAGUGGGGAAUAUUGGACAAUGGGGGCAACCCUGAUCCAGCCAUGCCGCGUGUGCGAUGAAGGCCCUAGGGUUGUAAAGCACUUUUGGCGGGGACGACGAUGACGGUACCCGCAGAAUAAGUCACGGCUAACUUCGUGCCAGCAGCCGCGGUAA